rnacentral:rRNA from 1 species
GACGGAGGGUGCAAACGUUGUUCGGAAUCACUGGGCGUAAAGGGCGCGCAGGCGGACUCGUAAGUCGGGAGUGAAAACUCGGGGCUCAACCCCGAGCCUGCUUCCGAAACUGCGAGUCUUGAGGACCGGAGAGGAAGGCGGAAUUCCCAGUGUAGCGGUGGAAUGCGUAGAUAUUGGGAAGAACACCAGUGGCGAAGGCGGCCUUCUGGACGGUACCUGACGCUGAGGCGCGAAAGCUAGGGGAGCAAACAGG